GUGUAUGAUAAAAAGAUCUCUUUUCUCAGCAGUGAUAAACAUAUCAAAUACAUUUUGUCAAGAAAAAAUAUAAAUUACAUUUCUCAAGAUCAAAAUUGAUGGGGGUACUACGCAUGGGUCAUGGGAUUUAGACUGCUCCGUCAGAGCAUGCUCCGUGUCCCAGAGACUGCUGCUUGCUAUCCCUCUCCAACGUUCCUUGCGGAGGAUAAACUCCUGGGGGUUGGUUGAGAGCUGCCUCUGAUUGGACAGGAUCGUAUUGAAUCUACCACGCAGGCUACUACUCUGCAUGGAAAAGGAAGCUCAGUUUGCCACAGGCUGUCGUUGAAUUUGUUUGGCAGUGUACUCCCCAACAAACAGUUAUCAGGGUGUCAGAAUUAUUUCACUCAGUGAUGGUUUUGAAU